AAGGCCAUAGCUCAUUGGAAGAGCAUUUGCCUUGCAUGCAGAAAGUCCCAGGUUCAGUUCCCAGUGGCAUCU